rnacentral:rRNA from 1 species
CCUACGGGAGGCAGCAGUGGGGAAUUUUGCGCAAUGGGGGCAUCCCUGACGCAGCAACGCCGCGUGAGUGAUGAAGGCCUUCGGGUCGUAAAGCUCUGUCAGAGGGGAAGAAAUGCAGGUGGUGAACAACCAUUCUGUUUGACGGUACCCUCAAAGGAAGCACCGGCUAACUCCGUGCCAGCAGCCGCGGUAAUACGGAGGGUGCGAGCGUUGUUCGGAAUUAUUGGGCGUAAAGCGCGUGUAGGCGGUUUGUUAAGUCUGAGGUAAAAGCCCCGGGCUCAACAGGGGAAGGGCAUUGGAUACUGGCAGACUUGAGUACGGGAGAGGAGAGUGAAAUUCCCAGUGUAGGAGUGAAAUCCGUAGAUAUGGGGAGGAACACCGGUGGCGAAGGCGGCUCUCGGGACAGAUACUGACGCUGAGACGCGAAAGCGUGGGAGGCAAACAGGAUUAGAUACCUUGGUAGU